GCUGUAUUGCUCUAUGACUCUAUGACUUAUUUCAUUGACAUGGCACCAUCUAACUGGAUGGUUUCGACACACGAGGAAGACCUGUAAGAUGGAAAGGAGCUCACCUGUACAGAAACGUAUCCACCAACCCGAGGAGAUGCAGUAGUAUUCGAGGAUGAGCGCCGCUCCCACGGUGAAGAUGGUGGCACAGUCGCGGCCCUGGAACAGGAAGGAAUGGUCCCAAACUGGCUGCUCCUGAGGAAAACCUGCCUGAGACACCUGAGGAGAGAAAGACAAGAGCAUCAAUGCUGCUCGACCUGCUGAGUUCCUCCAGCAUGUUGUUUGUUGUAUAACUGGAUGUUUGAUGGUCAGCAGACUCCAUGACUCUAAAGGAAAUGGAAGCAGGACUAUUGGCAAAUGCUCCAACAGUCCUGCGGCCAGCAGAAUCGCAUAACAGAAACCGGCCAAGUUAGCUAAUACUUGCUUGAGAGAGCAGCAGAGGCUGCACUGUUGUAUCAAUGCUUGAGUCGGGAACCUGCUCGCUCAGAGGCAAGAUCAGAACUAAGCCAGGUCCGAGUGAACAAAUUAUCCUCAGGAUGACGGACUCGAUGAUUCACCACACACUGCU